UGUUCCAAGCCGACCGCCACGAACGUUGC
rnacentral:sRNA from 1 species